rnacentral:rRNA from 1 species
AUUGAACGCUGGCGGCAGGCUUAACACAUGCAAGUCGAACGGUAACAUAAAGAAGCUUGCUUCUUUGAUGACGAGUGGCGGACGGGUGAGUAAUGCUUGGGAAUCUAGCUUAUGGAGGGGGAUAACUACGGGAAACUGUAGCUAAUACCGCGUAGAAUCGAGAGAUGAAAGUGUGGGACCUUCGGGCCACAUGCCAUAGGAUGAGCCCAAGUGGGAUUAGGUAGUUGGUGAGGUAAAGGCUCACCAAGCCGACGAUCUCUAGCUGGUCUGAGAGGAUGACCAGCCACACUGGGACUGAGACACGGCCCAGACUCCUACGGGAGGCAGCAGUGGGGAAUAUUGCGCAAUGGGGGCAACCCUGACGCAGCCAUGCCGCGUGAAUGAAGAAGGCCUUCGGGUUGUAAAGUUCUUUCGGUAGCGAGGAAGGCAUUUAGUUUAAUAAACUAGGUGAUUGACGUUAACUACAGAAGAAGCACCGGCUAACUCCGUGCCAGCAGCCGCGGUAAUACGGAGGGUGCGAGCGUUAAUCGGAAUAACUGGGCGUAAAGGGCACGCAGGCGGUGACUUAAGUGAGGUGUGAAAGCCCCGGGCUUAACCUGGGAAUUGCAUUUCAUACUGGGUCGCUAGAGUACUUUAGGGAGGGGUAGAAUUCCACGUGUAGCGGUGAAAUGCGUAGAGAUGUGGAGGAAUACCGAAGGCGAAGGCAGCCCCUUGGGAAUGUACUGACGCUCAUGUGCGAAAGCGUGGGGAGCAAACAGG